GCCUAGAUAGCUCAGUCGGUAGAGCAGAGGACUGAAAAUCCUCGUGUCGCUGGUUCGAUUCCGGCUCUAGGCA
rnacentral:tRNA from 5 species